rnacentral:tRNA from 1 species
GCAGUGGUGGUUCAGUGGUAGAAUUCUCGCCUUCCAUGCAGGAACCGGGUUUUAAUUCCAGGCCAAUGCA